rnacentral:rRNA from 1 species
UGGCGGACGGGUGAGUAACGCGUGGGCAACCUGCCUUACACAGGGGGAUAACACUUAGAAAUAGGUGCUAAAACCGCAUAAGCGCACAGCUUCGCAUGAAGCGGUGUGAAAAACUCCGGUGGUGUAAGAUGGACCCGCGUCUGAUUAGCUUGUUGGCGGGGUAACGCCCACCAAGGCGACGAUCAGUAGCCGGCCUGAGAGGGCGGACGGCCACAUUGGGACUGAGACACGGCCCAGACUCCUACGGAAGGCAGCAG